rnacentral:rRNA from 1 species
UACGAAGGGGGCUAGCGUUGCUCGGAAUCACUGGGCGUAAAGGGUGCGUAGGCGGGUCUUUAAGUCAGGGGUGAAAUCAUGGAGCUCAACUCCAGAACUGCCUUUGAUACUGAGGAUCUUGAGUUCGGGAGAGGUGAGUGGAACUGCGAGUGUAGAGGUGAAAUUCGUAGAUAUUCGCAAGAACACCAGUGGCGAAGGCGGCUCACUGGCCCGAUACUGACGCUGAGGCACGAAAGCGUGGGGAGCAAACAGG